rnacentral:rRNA from 1 species
UACGUAGGGUGCAAGCGUUAAUCGGAAUUACUGGGCGUAAAGCGUGCGCAGGCGGUUUUGUAAGUCUGACGUGAAAUCCCCGGGCUCAACCUGGGAAUUGCGUUGGAGACUGCAAGGCUAGAAUCUGGCAGAGGGGGGUAGAAUUCCACGUGUAGCAGUGAAAUGCGUAGAGAUGUGGAGGAACACCGAUGGCGAAGGCAGCCCCCUGGGUCAAUAUUGACGCUCAUGCACGAAAGCGUGGGGAGCAAACAGG